GGGACCAGGGGCCCUGCUGGACAGCUAUGAAGAGCUCUGUGCUCUGAGUGAACAAAGGCACUGUGGGCCUGGAGUCGCACAAGUGACUUCCAGAGGAUCAUCUCAGGAGCUCAGCCUGUAGAGAGUGGAGUACUUGUAUCUGUUUGUGCUGACCCCAGAAAGCUGAGCAAAGCAUCAUGAGCAGCCAACAGACAGUAAAAAUCUUCAAGAAAUCUGCUAUCCCAGGAGUUGUUAUCACU